rnacentral:lncRNA from 1 species
AUCUAGCAUACAAAACAAUAACUAUAGCAAGAUAGAAUACAUACCUCUUUGGUGUAGAAAGUCUUCAUGAAGCUUGAGUGCCUAGUGCCCCAAGUGUGACACCUCAAAUGGAAUCACAAUCAUCAAAACACUUAGAAUAGCUUGAGAGAAUUCUACACUUCAUGAAAUUGGCUAGCCCUCUCUAGAAUAAUACUAGUGCCGAUUUUGCCAAGAAUAAUAUCUUUAUAUAGUGUUACAAUUAGGGCAAACCCUAAUUGUCAUGACUUUCCAUUUCCUUGGAUCCAUGGGUUCAAAUACACCAUGGAGCAUCCAUGAACCAUCCUAUGGGUUUUAGCCCAACUUGAUUAUCCAUGGAGCAUUAGCCCACUAUACAAGUAUGGAUGAUUUACACAAUCAACCCAUAUAUUUAAUUAGUCUUCUUUUGAUCACUUAAUUAAUCCUAGAUUAAUUCUUGAUCAAUACUAAUUAAAUAAUCUUAUUAUUCUUAUUAUUAAUAUACUAGAACUUAUAAUAUAUUAAUAACCAUAAGUGUCUUAUUUCUCUCAUUAUAGUCUAUCCAAGUGCAUGAUGGUAUGCAACCCAAAUGGACCAUGCCGGGUCGGGUCAAGUCUUACCAAUUAUAGUUAUGGACUUAGACAUUAAUCCAACAGUCUCCCACUUGGAUAAGUCUAAAACUAUUAUUGCGUAUGACUUCAGGAACCAACUGGCAAUCGUAGCUCUCAAAAGCUUCUGUCGAACUCUGACCUUGUAGAUGAACUCUGACCUUUGUCAAUGACUUGUCCAUUAGAUAAGGGAUCAUAUAUUCCUCCAUUCUAGAUAUCAUAUGGACUGAGACAUGGAUUAUAAUCAUUCUCUCUGUCCAUUUGUUGUUUCCCGAUUUCCGAUUUAUGACGACUGACUAAUUGAACAAAUCAAAUCAGUCCUGGCCCGGCCGAGCACUUCCAUUUGUCAUCAUCAAAUCAUCGAGGGGCCCACAGAUAUCGCUUUUAUCCCGAAGGUAAAAGGAAUGGAUAAACUUCGACUCAUAUGGCUUGUUCUACUACUUGUUGAAUCAUACACAAAGGCACGUUUUAUAGCACCGAGUUACCAAAUGCGUUUUCGUGCAAUCAAUGUACUAUCAACUCAUAGUAACAACUCAUAUCUCUAGGUUUGAAGAAUAUAAGAUAUUAUCGUCUCAUGAUCACUCGUGAUAAAAUCCAUGAAGUGAUUCCAAUGAGCGCGGGUUGAAUCCAAUACUCAGAACUUAUGAGCACUCAUGAGUGUUGUAGCCCUUUGUCCAACACCUUAGACCUCUACAAGCCAACCCAUGACAGUCUUAAUUCAUAUCUACUUCCAACAUAUGACCGACUGUGGAUGGUUUGAAUAACUUAGUCAUUCCGGAAGAAUAACCCAGUUUAUUCGGGAAGUCAAAACAUGCAAAAUGAAACACAAUAAUAAUUGAAUCCAAUAUGGUAUCAACCCUUUGAACAUAAAUAAAACACCUUUUAUUUAUCACCAUAUGAUUACACAUUAUUCAUUGUAUACUGUUUCAGCUAUCAACUUUAUUCUUGAAUUUAAAACAAUAGUUGUCCCAUGCUCCAAGCAUGUACACUAUGUUUUCUUAAACACUAGUCAUGCCACACACCAAGUAUGCAUACUAUGUUUGUCUAUGAUCUUUACUUUGUGAACUAGAUCAAUUGAACAUAACUUCAAUGAUUCUCUUUUCACACUCCCAAAUCCUUACUGCAAAUGCAAGAAUUCCAAAUUCAUGCCAUUUACUGAAAUCUGUUAGAUUCUAAACUUAUAUGCAUUGAUCCUCUUGUAAUGAUUAUGCACAAAGUCACAAAGACUUGGCAACAAUCAUUACAGAGUAUUCCAAAGGAGAUCAACUCCUUGGAAAUAUCCUUCUUGCAUUAAGUUUCCUUAAUCUUACACAGAUUGAAAAUUCUAACUUUGAAACAUUUCCAGAUUCCAUUUUGACUAUCACUUCUGAACAAGAGUUGCCUCCUUACAGAUUAUGUCAAUAUGGUCCUUCCAGAAUUAUCACUAUACUUCCAAUUGUCCUUGAGUAACCAAUCUUUGGUAAACCUUAGAUUGUCCUCGACAAUUGUUUAAUCCUUUUAGUCAUAUCCAGUUCUAAACCUUUUCCCUUCUUAAUGCCCCAGGCAUUUGGAAAAUUUUAGAACGGAUGAAUAUAGCACAUGUAAUCGAUCCUAUAUCCGAAGCAUAUGGGACACGAUUCAUGAUGUCUUACAUAAAGACUAAACCAGUCUUUUGCUAUAAUAUUUCCAUUUCAAUUUGCCAAGUUCUCAUAAUUCAGAUUAUGAAAAGGGAUGCCGUAAUCAUAAUCGAAUUUUAGAACGCAAAUAAUGGACCCAUAUACAGAAUUUCCUUAUGUUGAGCCAUUCCAACAUGAAAUUCAUAUAUAUCCUUGACUAAAUGAUUAAAACCUCACGAUCUAAGCUUAUAGAUUUGAGAUGAAGCAUAAUUUCCUCUCCCUUAAUUAUAGCAAAACAACUUUUUCCCAAUUGAAACUUUUGUUUUCUAUAAUUAACAUUGCUAACUUGCAAUACUUAUCAUAAUUAUCAUGCUCCCACUAACAUGAUGAUUAUUAGCAUAACACUUAUGCUCCCACUAGCUUUGACAUGUACUCAGAAAUCAGCUGGACAGUCUGAAAUUUAGAUUCAUACACCCUUUCCGUAGAUAGCUCACCUGUGUGUCUAAGCAAUUUCAAGAACCAUGAAAAGGGAUACCGUAAUCAUGGUCUCAAUUGCUUAGGCAUUUGCCAUUUCUCACAAGUCCAUGUUAGUGUGCCGGUUAACCACACGCGCUCCACUAACGACUUUUGAAAAUGCAAAUAACACAAUUGAUAUCUUCGUAAAAUCUACUUAGUGAAAGCGUUUCCUCACCAUCAUUUUCAUGAAUCGGAGAGAAACCUUAUGACACUUAGAUUUAUAUGGUGUAUGAGUUCCUACCCAUAUGAAUUUGUCAAACCAUAAUCACAAGACAAAGAUAAUGACAAAUCCAAAACCAUAUGGAUUGAACUCAAUCUUAACUUCUUGCCACCUGGCAGCUCAAGGGCCUGCCAUUGCUUCCAAGUUGUUAUGCAACAAACUGAGAACUCUAAGAACUCAUAUGCAAAGCCAACUUUAACUGGAAUGGGCACAGAUAUGUCAACACGAUAGGUUAUAAACCUCAAGUCGUGUGCUAGUGAAGAACUUCAGGUUUUAUUCUUGAUUAUUUCUUGAGACUUUCAAGACCUUUAAGACUCCCACUGUCCUCUUGACAUAUAAGACUCCCUUGUCAAACAUCCAAGAGAUAGUGCGGAUUCUAAUCAAGAAAAACACUUUACCCAAUUGGCCUAAGUUGGUCUUUGUUUUAUCCAAAACAUCACAACUUACCAAUUUCAAAUGUACAAGAGUAGAAAACUUUUACUCUUACAUUUGACAAGUGUUUUAAACCUUCUUUAAGACAUGUCACUCAAAUGACAAUCUUGGAGUAUGACUCUAAGACUUGUAUUGGAACGAAGUAUGACUCAUCUUCUUGAUUUAACCAUUUCAACAAUUCAAGUUCCUCUUCUUAGUCAUAAGAAUGCACUAAGAUUUCCUUAGAGAACUAAUUGUGAUAUGGUUUCUUAAUCAUUAAGAUGAUCACAAAACUGAUACUAAAGUACUCUCCCAUCUUUUCAGAUUUGAGAAACUUUUAUCCUUCUGCCUAAUUUGAUUCUUCUUAUCGAUCUUUAGUGGUGGACUUAAUCAGUGCACAAGAAUGUGUACUCGAUCCCUUAGUCCUUUACUUGACUCACACAUCCAUGUGAACAAGUAAUUAGUCUUAAUUUUCCAAAACUUGAAAGUUCUCAUUCAUCAUGCUAUACAACUUGCAUGAUUCCAAGUUCCGGUCCAAUUGAAACUUGGGUGAUGAGAAUCUUUCCUUAUUUGGUAAAUCUAGACAUUACCACAAAUGAAAGAAUCAAUUUCAUAUUUCCACUCUUGCUCUUAAUGGAAUCAUAUAAGCAACAAUUUUUCCUCAAAAGCCAUUGUAAGGAUAUUUUAAAAUAAAUAAAAUCAAAAAAAUUUUCUUUUAUUUUAAAACUUUGCGGAAAAACUUAUCCUUACAAUCCAUAUGAAAACUUGUUGUUAUCUAUUCCUAAGCAAUAUCUCAUAACUCCUAAGAAGUAGCUCAAGAAUCCGAUCUUCAAACUAUGCGAUAGAAAUCCAUCUACGCCAUCAGAUUCAGCAUAUUCUUUCUUUAAGUUUCUUCACUUUUCUUUGAUUCUUAAAACAUCACCAUGUGACCCAGUCACAUCAUGUAUCAAGAAUCUCAGAAUAGAAACUUAACAGAGUUAGAUAGUGGACUUUACCUGAAGUAGAGUCAAACUUAUUGACUUUAACAUCCUUAGGUAAAUUUGGCAGCUUCGCAACCAAUGCCCCUUCCUUUGGCAAUAUAAACAUAUGGACCCUUUGAUAAUGGUACACGGGACUAUCACAGACUUAGCUUUUCUCUUUACCAUUUGGUCAACCGAGUUGACUAUGGCCGAUCCCUUUCCAUUGGGAAGAGAAUGCUUUACUGGAUAUCCAAUGUCAUCAUUGUCAAUGUCCAUAAAGUUUUAGGAAGUUGAUCUUAGCAAAUAGAUAAGAUCAUUAAGGGUCUUGUCAUAGUCUGUUUCAUAGGUGUCCCAAAGGAACUCACUAUGUGACUUAGAAAGUGAUUGAACCACCAACUUUCUCAAGACUUUGACACCCAACUCUCCCGGCUUGUCAAUAUGUGACUACAUCUCCAAGAUGUGACCACACCUAGACCUUGCCUUGCUAAUAGGGCCUGAGUGACCUUAAACUUUUCAAGAACUUGUGGGUUAGGGAGAAUAAUUUGAAGAGGUGAAGAAGUAUGAUAUCCAUGGGACAUCAUCUUCAUUAGGAAACCUUGUUUCAAGAGAUUUGGGAAGAUCAUAGGUGUCUAAACCAGACAUCUUUUGGGAGAUAUUCAAGAUAGUUGAUUUAAAGUCCUUAAUAUGACACCCAAUAUGAAAUAUUAAGGCUAGGACCCAACAAACUAUUUUAUAACUUAGAAGAGGUAUGCCGUAAUCCAAGCUAUAAAAUAUUUGAAGGUAGGUGAAUGACGAUUCACCAAUUUCCACCAAGAUAAACGAAAUGUAUUAUUAGGUUUUAAUUGGUUUUGAAACUCCUAGAUCUUUGAGAUUCAUUGAACUUUUCAAAGGCAUGUUUCAAUCUCGAGUGUGCCCUUCAGGUUUUGUGACUGGGAUGCCGAGGAUCACAAAACAAGGUGUGAAGUAACCAUGCAAAUCACUUGGUACCCUUAAUAAAUUACCCCUCAAUCGAUGUGCCGGUUAACCACACACGCUCCAUCGAUACUAUGAUAAAUAUUAAGUCACCCUUUACCUACCUUGUUAAGUCCAAGUUAGUGUGCCGGUUAACCACACACGCUCCACUAACGACUUAGACAAAGUGUAAAGUGUAAUUUCAUGGAUUAGCACCUUAUUCACAUUUUUCCUAAGUAACUAAGAUUGGGUAUUAUUAAGAGUUUAGUUACUUAGUAUUAUCAUUAAUACUUUUAAUGAAGGGAGAAUUCUAGUCCUGUCAAACCCGUUCGGCUAACGACCCUCCACCAGUCAAGCAAGCGGUGGGUGAGAGUGGACACCCAUUAAGUUGCCAUUUUAUAGGCAACAACCUUAUACCCACCUUAUAGACCGGCUUCGUGAAUGAGGCGUACUAGCGGUAAGACUGACUUUACUCUUAUACAUAUAUAUAUUAUUAACUUAUAAUAUUAUAAAGUAUAAGGGUUGAAUUUUAACUUUUAAAAUUCUAAGGGCUAACUUGGAAUUAAAGUAUUCAUACUUGAAAACUUUUCAAAUUCCAAAACUUGAGGGCAAGUUUUGAAACUAUUCAAAACUAAUUAAUUCCAUAACUUAUGUGUUUAAAGUAGUUUUAAUCCAAAAACUCUUCAAGUUCCAUAACUUGAGGACAAGUUAUGGAAGACUUUAAACUAAUAAAAGAACUAACUUUUUCUUUAUUUUAUAACUUAUGGAUUUAAUUAUGGUUACAUAUUUUUCUUUAAUGAAGUGACUCUUGAACUUCCAUAACUUGAGGACAAGUUAUGGAGUCAAAAAAAAUUAUUCAAUGACACAAGACUCUUCAUUUUGUAACCAUUGCCAACUUUUAUGAGUUUUAUGAGUCUUUAAUGUGACUCUUCAUGUAACUUGAGGACAAGUUACACAAACACAUUUUAUACUCAACUCUUAGAUUAAAAUGGAUUGAAAACAACUAUUUCACUCAACAUUUCUAUUAAUCUAAGCAACUCAUAAGAACAAGAUAAUUCAAAUCAAACUUUUUCAUGUAAUUAGUCUAAACCUUAAACUAAUACAAAACAUGAAUCUAUUGACAAUUAUCUUUGAAAAUGGAUUAGCAUGAACAUUACCACAUCAAAAACAAGUUUAUAAGUUCAAAAACAACUUAGGGUAAUGUUCCUAGUCCAUUUCUAGCCAAAAAACUCGAAAAUAUGCUGUCUGGGGGUCCAACUCGUCGAGUGCAUGAACCAACUCGGCGAGUUGGAUCGAAUUCAUCACUUUUUAGGCAUGGACUCGCCGAGUCUCCUGAUGGACUCGCCGAGUCUGAUGGCCAGACAGCACCAAAUUCGUUUUUUCAGCUUCUAUUGCAGGUAUAACAAGAAAACAAGCCUAGGCUCUGAUACCACUGUUGGGUUUUGAGCAUUCUAACACUCCUAAGUGUACAUGCAACCCUAAAUACCUUGGAUCUAUGUUUUCUCUAUUAUACAUGCAAAUAAGAACUUCCAAGGUAUUAUCCUAAUCUAGCAUACAAAACAAUAACUAUAGCAAGAUAGAAUACAUACCUCUUUGAUGUAGAAAGUCUUCAUGAAGCUUGAGUGCCUAGUGCCCCAAGUGUGACACCUCAAAUGGAAUCACAAUCACCAAAACACUUAGAAUAGCUUGAGAGAAUUCUACACUUGAUGAAAUUGGCUAGCCCUCUCUAGAAUAAUACUAGUGCCGAUUUUGCCAAGAAUAAUAUCUUUAUAUAGUGUUACAAUUAGGGCAAACCCUAAUUGUCAUGACUUUCCAUUUCCUUGGAUCCAUGGGUUCAAAUACACCAUGGAGCAUCCAUGAACCAUCCUAUGGGUUUUAGCCGAACUUGAUUAUCCAUGGAGCAUUAGCCCACUAUACAAGUAUGGAUGAUUUACACAAUCAACCCAUAUAUUUAAUUAGUCUUCUUUUGAUCACUUAAUUAAUCCUAGAUUAAUUCUUGAUCAAUACUAAUUAAAUAAUCUCAUUAUUCUUAUUAUUAAUAUACUAGAACUUAUAAUAUAUUAAUAACCAUAAGUGUCUUAUAUCUCUCAUUAUAGUCUAUCCAAGUGCAUGAUG